rnacentral:rRNA from 1 species
GGAGUUUCAGAGAGGUGGUGCAUGGCCGUCGUCAGUUCGUACCGUAAGGCGUUCUCUUAAGUGAGAUAACGAACGAGACCCUCACCGAUAAUUGCUACUUCUUCCUCCGGGGAGGAGGCACAUUAUCGGGACCGCUGGCGCUAAGCCAGAGGAAGGAGAGGUCAACGGUAGGUCAGUAUGCCCCGAAUCUCUUGGGCUACACGCGCGCUACAAAGGGCGGGACAAUGGGCUCCGACGCCGAGAGGCGGAGGCAAUCCCGAAACCCGUCCGUAGUUCGGAUUGAGGGCUGUAACCCGCCCUCAUGAAGCUGGAUCCGUAGUAAUCGCGAAU